GUGCCAGCAGCCGCGGUAAUACGUAGGGUGCAAACGUUGUUCGGAAUCACUGGGCAUAAAGCGCGUGUAGGCGGUCCCGCAAGUCAGGUGUGAAAUCCCUCGGCCCAACCGAGGAACUGCAUCUGAUACUGCGGGGCUAGAGUACAGGAGGGGAGAGCGGAAUUCCUGGUGUAGCGGUGAAAUGCGUAGAUAUCAGGAGGAACGCCGGUGGCGAAAGCGGCUCUCUGGCCUGUCACUGACGCUGAGGCGCGAAAGCUAGGGGAGCAAACGGGAUUAGAAACCCUGGUAGUCC
rnacentral:rRNA from 1 species